GCGCGCCCGGAGGACGAGCGGCUGCCGUUAGCGUUCGCCACUGGCCAUUGCGCGCUGGCGGCCAGCCCUCGGACGGUGAGGCCCUUCUGGCCUCCUGCGCUGCCUCGGCCUGUAACCCGGAAUGGUUGCGCGGGAGGUCGGGUCAGGGGCGGAGGCCGCUGGGUAAGGGCAGGCGUCGGCAUCGCUCAGCUCCGGCCCGCCCAGGCUCACCAGCUGAGAAGCCCCGAAUGGGGCUCCUGGUCACCCGAGGGGCUCCCCCGAGGCGGAAGUCUCUGGAAAACAAAGGAAUUCAAGAGGAGCUUCUCUAAAACUUGACCCUGCCAUGGCACAACUCUCCAGUUUUCUUCACUGUCUCCAGAACAGGAGUUUUUCUGGGACAGAUGGCACAAGAGCACCAGAAUCCUCCGCCAGGGCAGACAUUGUUCAGAUGUGGAUCUUGGGAGCCUCACCCCCUUGGAGCUCACGGACUGAGAACAAGGAGUUCCCCUCCCAUCAGGGACUUUCUGAAAGAUGAUCCCCAUGAGGGACCUCACGCAGACCCUGUGGGCACUAGGAAAUGCCUCAGAAUGUUCCAGAACCUUCAGCUGGCAUUGGGGACUCUCCCAGAGGUGAAGCCAAGCAGUUCUCCUCCCCAAGACAAGACCUUCCAGCAGAAGAGAGAAGGCAGAUGCUGUGACAGGGACAAGAGGUAGCCUGCAGCCAGACUUAAAACUCUUUGAAGAAGAGCCACAUUGUGUCCCUUGGAUCCUCCCCAGCAACUUCAAGCAUUGACACCUCAGAAUCGUGGCGGGGCUUGGAAGCUGCAUGGGGCUAUGGUGCCGCCCUCUGAGCAGAGGGUCCAGGACGUGCCUUUGGCUGAAGACGCGGCUUCCUCCUUGGGGAUGGCUGAAAUUCUCUUCUGGUCACACGGGGCAAAAGGUGACCUUGUAUUUACUGCCGUCCUUUCCAGCCCACACCACAAGGCAGGCUAGCCAAGGUAACCCCAGAGACCAUCAGGUGGCUGGCCAUCUGUCUCCAUUGUCUCAGCUGUGCCCGAGAGAUGUAACUGUUUGCCAUAUGUUGUGCUGGACCUGGGAGGGACCUGGGAAAGGACAGGCAGGGAACAGCCAGAAUUCAUUCGGUGGGAAAGCCACCCAUCCCAGUGCCCUGGUUAAGUAUGAAUGGCUCAGGACCUUCCUCCACGUGAACUUGGAGCUCCUUGUGGGCAGAGCUGUGUCUUGGGCCUGUCCCUGCUUCACGGUGCCUGGUUCAGCAAAUAGGUCUCUGUUUGCAGAGUGUCUGCCUUGGAGUAAUCACUCUUUAGCUCCUGACACCUGACAGCCAGGGCUCAUGGAGUAACAAGGAGAGCAGAGGUAGAAUGACUGUGCUCUCAUCCCACCUGGGUCCUCUCCACCUCCUGUGAGUACAUCAUCCCGUUGGUAUGUGGCUAAAUUCUAGGUCCCAUGCACAAAGUACAGGAAAGUCCCUUUAUCUUUUAUUAAUUGCAAAUUUUCUCUCCCCCUUGAAAAAUGGGACAAACUGCUUAAGUCUGUGUUUUUGUGUAGCCUAGGAGUUCUCCACUAACUUUCUUUAAAGCAAGUUAAAACUGUAGGGACAGUAAAAAAAUCAUCCUUAGUGGUGGCAACUGCAUUUUCUAGAAACACAUUUUCUACCCAGGUGACCUUUGGCUUGGUGAGCCUAUCCUGGGCCAUGGAGCUUUAAGGAGAGAAGAGGAGAGCGUGCCUAGCUAGCUGCCCCUCCUGGGCCCACCAGGGGCCACCUGCUCACCCACUGGCCUCUGGGCCAGAGGGGACAACCAGGCACCAGCUCUACAUUCUCUAGCCUGAAAGUUUAUAGAUGGUGUGUCAUUUAUAGUGAGUCUCCAGAAUAUUCUCUCAAAUUUCUCUUGUAAUAACUGUUCCAGGCAGUUUAUGAAAUUAUGAAGACAAGAGAUUGAAGUGGAUAAUCAGAGGAGCAAAGGCUGGGGGGGAAGGGGGGAUCCUAAACCAGGGCCCCCUGAAGGAGGCAAAGGCCGCUCACAGAGGGCGCAAGGCUUCUGGGAAGUUGCUAGAGAAGUUGAGUCUAGAUGGAGAGCAGUGAAGAGGCCCCACCCAUCCCCAUCGCGAGGACCGUAGCUGCCAAGCCAGCCUAGUGAUGUCUCCUCGCAGGCCUGCUCUGCCGAGAAUGCCGUGAGCAGAAUCCCGUUUAAUCUUCUCAACAACACUUUGUAACCCUGAGAAAAGCCACUGGCCCCAUUUCCCAUCUCUGAAUGAUCUUGUGCAGAUGUGACCCAUAGAAGUUCUUCAAAUCUUUGGAGCCCAGCCACAGAUGUGUUGCAGUCUUAGAAGUUGUGACCACCAGUUUCUGUCACUGAGCCUCAGCCCUCUUGGUGCAGUACUGUGCUCCUGCACAAGGCAUGCAGGCCUGUGCCCCAGGCUGAACAGCCCAAAAAGAAAAUCCUGUAACCAGAGGAGUGAAAUUCCUGGUUGGAGUGAAUGAAGCAAAAAGUUUAACCCCCUGCCUUGUGAUAGGAUGAACACAUCAGAGCAUUCCGUGAGCCCUGCAUGUCCCUGGGAGUCACCAAAGAGCCUCUGAAACUCUUGAGACCAAAGGCACUUGUUCCCCCGACUGCUGCUCAUCAAGACUUUUCUCCAGCAUGAAGUAGCCUGAUGACCGACCUAAAGUGCGCUCAUCUCUCAAAGACGGCGUCUCUCUCCUGUGAAUCCCCCAAUGAUGAGAAAGAGCUAAGCAGGCCCAUGUGAUCCUACCCAUUAGCCUCUCUCCAGGGUGACCUAAUGUCCCCGCAGCCACUCUACCCCUAGACGGUCUGCCAUAUUCAUGACACCUGACCAGCAUAAGGCCCAUUUGAGUCCAUUGGUAUUGUCCAAGGACAGGACUCUGAUGAAGCCACCUCUUCCUCCAUUAUGCUUCCAGGACCCCUCUCUGCUGCAAACUCCCAGAUGUCUGGCUGGUGCCAAGCACUAUUUAAAGACAUGUGUUUGCAUUCAUCACAUGCAUAUGGUUUUUCUCCAGUGUGAAUUCUCUGACGUUGAAUGAGCUUUGCUUUCUGAAAGCCCUCCCACAUUUUAUCGCAUCUGUAGUUUCUGUUGCAUGUGASGUAGCCAGUGCCGUGGGGGGGGGUGCUGACAGAUGCCUCCCCCCGCCCACUCUCUACAAGAUGAGUGUUAUUUCAAAAGGACCGGAGCCCCAAGGAAAUUGCCUGUAUUCACAACAGUCAAAGCUGUUCUCUCCGAUAUGAAACUGUAACACUGAAUAAAUCCGGAAUCCUUACCCAAGACUUGGCCACACGUGUCUUACUUGGACCUUAUCUCACUUCUAAAGAGUUGAAUGCAGAUUUUUCCAUGUUUACCACACUUAAGGGAUGGGGUCCCUGAGACAGGGCUCUGAGGUGUGUCCAUCUUCAUGGCCUGGUGUGUCUAUCUUCAUGGCCUGGCCAGCGUCAGCGUCAGCGCGUCCUCUUUGCUCCCUCUGCUGUGGAAGACCCUGUUUGGAUGUCAGCUUGUUGUUCCUGGUCCCUUCUCACAAUAUAAAAUUGUGGAAAAUAUAAGUAUGGACCAUUCUCAAAGGACAAGACAAUUACUUGGACUGAGGGUGAAAGAUUUUGGAAGAAGAAUUAAAGACUGCCUUUGAGCAAAUAUACAAAAUGAUGGCUUCUUCAGAUUGCUGGUUAUUUAGUUCUCAUUCCUUUCAUGAACUCAGUUUUGGUUACAGUGAAAAUGUGCCUAUUAAAAAUACCUUUUCUAGUGACAUGGGAGGGGCAUGGGGGAGGUACAAGGAGGCUGUGGAGUGCUCUGUCCAUUGUUCUGGAUUACUGACCAGGUGGACAUGCUCACCUUGGGAAAAUCCAUCAAGUUUUUUUU